GACGAACGCUGGCGGCGUGCUUAACACAUGCAAGUCGAACGAAAAGGCCCCUUUCGGGGUACUCUGGUGUCGAACGGGUGAGUAACACGUGCGUAACCUGCCCUUGACUUCGGGAUAACUUUAGGAAACUGGGGCUAAUACUGGAUAGGAAUCCUUGCUGCAUGGUGGUGGUUGGAAAGCUUCGGCGGGUCUGGAUGUACUCGCGGCUUAUCAGCUUGUUGGUGGGGUAGUGGAUUACCAAGGCGUUGACGGGUAGCCGGCCUGAGAGGGCGACCGGCCACACUGGGACUGAGAGACGGCCCAGACUCCUACGGGAGGGAGCAGUGGGGAAUAUUGCACAAUGGGCGGAAGCCGGAUGAAGAAACGCCGCGUGCGGGAUGACGGCCUUCGGGUUGUAAACCGCUUUCAGCAGGGGCGAAGCUUGUGGUGACGGUACCUGCAGAAGAAGCAACGGCUAACUACGUG
rnacentral:rRNA from 1 species